rnacentral:rRNA from 1 species
GAUGAACGCUGGCGGCGUGCCUAAUACAUGCAAGUCGAGCGAACAGACGAGGAGCUUGCUCCUCUGACGUUAGCGGCGGACGGGUGAGUAACACGUGGAUAACCUACCUAUAAGACUGGGAUAACUUCGGGAAACCGGAGCUAAUACCGGAUAACAUGUUGAACCGCAUGGUUCAACAGUGAAAGACGGUCUUGCUGUCACUUAUAGAUGGAUCCGCGCCGCAUUAGCUAGUUGGUAAGGUAACGGCUUACCAAGGCAACGAUGCGUAGCCGACCUGAGAGGGUGAUCGGCCACACUGGAACUGAGACACGGUCCAGACUCCUACGGGAGGCAGCAGUAGGGAAUCUUCCGCAAUGGGCGAAAGCCUGACGGAGCAACGCCGCGUGAGUGAAGAAGGUCUUCGGAUCGUAAAACUCUGUUAUUAGGGAAGAACAAAUGUGUAAGUAACUAUGCAGGUCUUGACGGUACCUAAUCAGAAAGCCACGGCUAACUACGUG